rnacentral:rRNA from 1 species
UAGGGAAUCUUCGGCAAUGGGGGGAACCCUGACCGAGCAACGCCGCGUGAGUGAAGAAGGUUUUCGGAUCGUAAAGCUCUGUUGUUAAGGAAGAACGAGUGUGAGAAUGGAAAGUUCAUACUGUGACGGUACUUAACCAGAAAGGGACGGCUAACUACGUGCCAGCAGCCGCGGUAAUACGAAGGUCCCGAGCGGUGUACGGAUUGAUUGGGCGUAAAGCGAGCGCAGGCGGUUAGAUAAGUCUGAAGUUAAAGGCAGUUGCUCAACCAUUGUAGGCUUUGGAAACUGUUUAACUUGAGUGCAGAAGGGGAGCGUGGAAUUCCAUGUGUAGCGGUGAAAUGCGUAGAUAUAUGGAGGAACACCGGUGGCGAAAGCGGCUCUCUGGUCUGUAACUGACGCUGAGGCUCGAAAGCGUGGGGAGCGAACAGG